UUCCUAGGAUGGGAAUCGAACCCACAAUGUUCCGCUUACCGGGCAGAUGCCAUGUCCACUAGGCUACCCUGGA